GGUUCCUCCUCCCCUGCCUCCUCACGUCGCCCUCAAGUCCGAGGCAACGAGUUUGCUUCCUCUGCUCCGUUCAUGUCAUUGAGCUUUUUCCUUGGGCAUAGCACCACAUUUGCGGCAGCACACCGGAGUCAAUUUGGUUGACUAGCAAUAGAGCAAAGAGUAAAAUCAGGUCUUCACCUAUGGAGGAGGUAGAUACUGAUGGAGUGCAUAUGACCAGGUGUCCUCCAGGUUCUGCAUCAUCAGUGUGUACCUCUAGAUUCUGCAUCAUUAGUGAGCAACUUACCUAAGCAACCGAGCCCAAUCAACAAUUGGUAGAAGUAGUUAUGAGAUGAGGCAGAGGAGAGCAGAGAGGACCGGAGAAGGAGUUGCGGACCUCGCCAACAAGGCCGUGACCCUACAUCACUAAAAAAAAUGCGCCGUAUUUGUUUCUCAUGCUUUACCAUGGCAUGUUCUUAUUAGUUCAGGUUGGUCUCUCCGGUUCUUUUCGCCAAUGGCUUGAUGUACGCACUGGCAACCUCUUACUGGAAGGAUUCGGCAUGCCUCUGUUCAAGAGAUGGGAUAUGAAGAAAUGGCGUUCUGGUAUGUUAUAUCAUUUGAAGCAAUGACACUUUAUUUUGGUUCAUAUUUCUUUACAGGUUGUUGUAUGCAGAGUUUAUGAGGUUGCACUGCACCAUCAAACUAUGCUCCAUGUUAAGCAACAUCCAGAACUGCCAUUAUAUAUUUAAUGUAGUAGGUUGAUGCAACUUUGUAACCAGUCAUGGAUUUAAAAUAGGCUUUCUACCUCUUUAUUUUGGUCGGCAUGUUUUGGCACGUGUUUUUGUCAUUGAUCUGCUAUAUAUUAAUUACAUUUGAGUAGACUGUUGACUGAGAAAGCGUGAAGAUGUUGUGUUUUGAUUUAUGAGGACUAAUAGAUAGUUUUCCCUCGGGUUUAUUUAUUUUCUCUCCACACUUUUAAUUCUACAUAAAAGUACAUUCUAUUGUUAUUUGUUUACUAAUGCAAUAUAUGUACCCUUAUUUGUCUCAACUUUAUCAAUUUUAGUUUGUGUUUUCUGUGGCGCAGAACACAGUUAAAGGCAGUGCUGUGUCAAAGAUGCGUGCCAAAUAAUUAUUAAUUAAGCUGAUUGAAAUAUCAAACUUUGGGUGCAGUCUUCUUGGUCCUGUAUAUAUGACUGGCUGAUACAAAAUCUGGACAGUUCUGUCAUGACUUUUAUCUUCACAUCUUCCUUUCAUGAAUUUACUAACGCUUUUUUUUACUUGAUCUUAUGUGCAGCUACGUUUAUUCAGGUUAUAGGGCCUCUAUAGGAAACACAAUAAUCUGAAUUCCUAAUAGGUUGUCUUCAUGUCGCUGUUGUGCUACUGCUAGGCAUGAACAGAAUGGCCUCCUCUU